rnacentral:rRNA from 1 species
UGGGGAAUAUUGCACAAUGGGCGCAAGCCUGAUGCAGCCAUGCCGCGUGUAUGAAGAAGGCCUUCGGGUUGUAAAGUACUUUCAGCGGGGAGGAAGGCGAUAAGGUUAAUAACCUUGUCGAUUGACGUUACCCGCAGAAGAAGCACCGGCUAACUCCGUGCCAGCAGCCGCGGUAAUACGGAGGGUGCAAGCGUUAAUCGGAAUUACUGGGCGUAAAGCGCACGCAGGCGGUCUGUCAAGUCGGAUGUGAAAUCCCCGGGCUCAACCUGGGAACUGCAUUCGAAACUGGCAGGCUAGAGUCUUGUAGAGGGGGGUAGAAUUCCAGGUGUAGCGGUGAAAUGCGUAGAGAUCUGGAGGAAUACCGGUGGCGAAGGCGGCC